CUUUUCCCCCUUAGCAACGGGCCCAGGCGUCGGUUACUAAGGGAGGCCUUGCGGUCGCGGACGCUUGGUUGGCAACUUUUGCCCCAGCUCCCUUCAUAAAUACAGAUGUCCCACUGAUGCCCAGGUUCUUGUUUGAGGAGUCAAAGAGUGAACUGAGCAAACAAUCAAGGAUACUGGCGUCUUGGUCUAGGAACGUUAUCAAAAGGCCGCCUGCCCAGCCCCUGAGGUGGGCUGAGGUAUUGUCUGUUUGCUAAAGAAGGCCCUCAUUCUAUUCUGUCUAAGCCCAUGGUCCCUGUCUCACCAUUUCCAGAAAGGACGCUGGGUCAUUUUAAGUUUUCAGUGUGAAGAGGCCUCAGCCACCAUAUUAUUGUCGUCAGAAUGGAAACAGGUCACAGAGGAAGGACCUUUACCAAGCAUGUAAAGAGCCCGUCUCUGAAGGCAUGAAUGGAAACUGAGGCAUUGAAUAAAAACAGCCACCAAACGUAUUGUUUACUUAAAUGCUCUGCUAAGUACAUCACAUGCAAAAUUCAUAUUAAAUCUUUACACCAACCCUGCCUGACAUUACACACAUUUUACAGCCCAGGAAACCCAAAAAGGUUAGAGAAGCAAUGUCUUGUAAUCCAGCUUGUAAGUGGUAGAAACAAGAUCGGCAGUCCAGACCAUGUGUCUCCAGAGAGCGCUGUCCAAUAGAAAUAUAAGGAAAGCUGCAUUUUAAAUUUUUAGUAGUCACAUUAAAAAUAAAAAAGAUUAAAAAUUUUUAAUUCGUUAGUUAAAAACCCAGAUGAAAUUAAUUUUAAUAAUAGCUUUUAUUUGACCCAAUAUGUCCAAAAUAUUGUCCUUUAUAUGUAAAAUUUAUUAAUGAAAUAUUUUCAUUAUUUUUCUGUUCUAAGUACACCUUAAUUUGAACUAACAUGUGCUUGAUAGCCACAUGUGGCCAGUAGCUACCACAUUGGACCACACGGCUUAUAAAGCUAGAGAGAAUUUGCCUCCCUUUUAAUCACUUUCCCAACUCCAGAGCAAGUAAUUGUCAUUGCUUUAGUAAAGAAAUCAAUGCUUUACUCAGUGGGUUCUCAAAACUUUUGAUCUCAGGAUCCCUUGGUAGGCUUAAACAUUAUGGAGAGCUUUCAUUUAUGGGGUUAUAGCUAACUAUACUUAUAUUAUUAGAAAACAAAGUUGAGAAAUAAUGUUUAGUUUUUUAAAAAAUUAAAGUAUAUUUUAUACAUUAAAAUUCACCUAUGUUUAGUGCGUAGUUCUGAAUUUUGGCAAAUGCAUAGUCAUGUAACCACUACCAUAACCAACAUAUAGAAUCACCACCCCCCUAAAAUCAUUACCCCCUGUCCCUUUGUAGUCAGCUCCUCUAUCCAACCCGAGCAGAUGGAAACCACCAAUUAAGACUGAGAAAAAAUUUUAAACCCAGGAAUACCAAAGCAUACAUUCCAUUAAACAUCAAAGCCAUGACCUCAUCACAUGUUGUGUAGUCUCUGGAAAACUCCAGGGCACACUCAUGAGUGAAUGGAAUGGGAAAGGCAAAUAAUGUCUUAAUGUUUUGUGCAAAUGGUUUUGACCUCAACACCCCCCUGAUGGGUGCCCCAGAAGGGCUCCUGUAACUAUGCUGCAGCCACUACUUUAGCCUCCUGAGUGAAUACCCUGAUUUCCCAUCCCCAUAUCUGCUCAGAGUCUACAUUCUAGGCUCUUUUAAGUAACUGGCAUUUAUAGAGUAUAGCCAAUCAAUUCACAAAUAUUUUUUAGCAUUUUACAAGCCUUAUCUCUAUUGAAUUCUCGUAAUGACCACAUGAGUCACAACAGUAUAGACAGUCCCUGGCUUAAAAUGUUUCAGCUUAACUAUUUUUCUUCAACCUUAUGAUGGUGUGAAAACACUGGGCAUUCGAUUUGAAUUUUGAUCUUUUCCUGGACCAGCAACAUGCAGUAGGAUAUUCUCUCACAAUGCUGGCAGCAGCUGAAAGGCACAGGUCGGUCAGCCAGGCAAUCAGCAGGGUGAAUAACCCACACAUUUAGAACCAUUCUGUAUGCGAACAGCCGUUCUGUUGCUUACUUUCAGUACAGUAUUCAGUAAAUUACUGGAGAUAUUCAACACUUAAUUAUAAAUUUGGCCUUUUUUUGCAGAUGAUUUUGCCCAAACGUAGGCUAAUGUGUUGUGAGCACGUUUAAGAUAGGCGAGGUAAAGCUAUGAUUUUCAGUAGUUAGGUGUAUUAAAUGCAUUUUCAACUUACAUUUUUAAUUUACGAUGUAGUUAUUGGGAUGCAACCCCGUCUAAGCGGAGGAAGAUGUGUAUUCCAUAUUACAGAAGUUAACAAUAUUUCCUGCAGCUUGCUGUUCCUCUCACCAGUAGGAUGUGGCUGUCACUGACCAACAAAUGUUUUAUAAUAGUGUUUAUAGAGAUAAUCAAGAAACUGGGAACACUGUUUGCCUCUGGUAAGGAAACUGUGUGACUGAGGACAGGGAAAGAAAUCCCUUUGUCCUUUGUGAAUUUUGUACCAUGGGCAUGCAUUAUUUAUUUAAAAAAUAAUUAAAAAUUUAAAACUUGAAGACACAGAGGAAACAUAGCAUCAAAAUUGACAUCCCUUCUUGUCCAAAAAGGCUCACUAAGGCUUAAAAAAAGUGAAAAAAACAAACCAUCUGAUACAGAAAUAUGAUCUCGAAUUUGCAAAAAGAUAUUUGCAUACUAGUGUCCUGGCACUGACAGAUGACUGGAAGGGUAUCCAAACUGGCAACUCUGAUUAUCUUUGUGGUAAAUUAGUAGUAAUUUUUAUUGUUUUCUGAAUGCUUUUCUGUAUUAUCUGAACUUCUACAAUGAGCAUUUAUUGGUUUUAUAAUUAGAGAAACAAUUUUAAAAAGACGAUUCUUUUAAGUUUGUCUUUCUUUAUGCAGUAGUUCUGAAUUGUUGUAGCCUUGUAACUUAUAGCCUCCUUGUUUUGGUAGAUCUCCAAUCUCUAAAGAGAUUCUAAAACCCAGCUUUUAAACUAUCUUACCUCAGAUCCUCAUAAUAACAAACUCACAUUUAAGCUUUCCUAGGUAGCUCUUCAAUAUAAAUCCUUUACAAAAAUAACCUGCAAUAAUUGCAGUAAUCAGUACCUAAUUUAUAUGAUUGAUCAACUCCUAUAUCACAUAUAUUCACUUUCUUAAAUCAGCAAGCCCCUGGAGGCUUUUAAGAACUUGGAUAUGGUUAAUUGUGCGUGUUUCCUCCUAUUUGAUGCUAAUUCAUGUGUUGUCAAACAUUGACUAGAUUCCUUUUUUUCUCCCCUGUAAGAAUGGCAUUAACUUCAAAGUCACUUCUUCCUGUUCAAACAGAAGGCUUUAGCACAUUCCUUCAAGAAACUGCCAGUUUUUCAAAAGUGUUUGUAUCUGCCCCCAGUUUCUGCCACAGAGCUGAAACCCUUGUAAUUUCCUAAGUGGUAAGAGCACUGGGAGCGUCUUUUGUUCUAAUGAGGUGACUCUGGGUGGGCUCCUGGUUGGCUCCUGGAUGGGGGCUGAUCACCAGAAACACCAAGUCAUGAUUACAAGCCUGGACUCUUCAGCUCUAACCCCCGUACUCCAGAAAGGAGAGAGGGGUUAGAAAUGGAGUUAAUAAUUGAUCAUGCCAACGUGAGGAACCUCCAUAAAAUCCCAAUAGUAGGAGGUUUGGAGAGCUUCAGAGUUGGUGAAUGCACCCCAACUCCAUGGAGACAGAAGCUUUUGCACACUUGGGACCCUCCCAGACCUUACCCUGUGUAUCUCUUUAAUACCUGUUCAUUUGGAUCCCUUAUUCACAUCCUUUAAUAAACCGGUUGUGUGUUUCCCUGUGCUCUGUAAA